rnacentral:rRNA from 1 species
GGGUAAGUUCCGACCUGCACGAAUGGUGUAACGAUCUGGGCGCUGUCUCAGCCAUGAUCUCGGUGAAAUUGUAGUAGCGGUGAAGAUGCCGCUUACCCGCAACGGGACGGAAAGACCCCGUGAACCUUUACUGCAGCUUAGCGCUGGGACCGGGUAAUCGAUGUGUAGGAUAGGUGGGAGGCUGUGAGCCGCGCACGCCAGUGUGCGGGGAGCCGCUGUUGAAAUACCACCCUUUGGUUAUUUGGUUUCUAACUCUGGUGAGGACACCGCUUGGUGGGUAGUUUGACUGGGGUGGUCGCCUCCAAAAGCGUAACGGAGGCUUCCCAAGGUCCACUCAGCACGAAUGGUAACCGUGCGCAGAGUGUAUUGGUAUAAGUGGGCUUGACUGAGAGACCGACAAGUCGAUCAGGUGCGAAAGCAGGGCAAAGUGAUCCGGUGGUUCUACAUGGUUUGGCCAUCGCUCAAAGGAUAAAAGGUACUCCGGGGAUAACAGGCUGAUCGCCCCCAAGAGCUCAGAUCGACGGGGCGGUUUGGCACCUCGAUGUCGGCUCGUCACAUCCUGGGGCUGGAGCAGGUCCCAAGGGUUCGGCUGUUCGCCGAUUAAAGUGGCACGCGAGCUGGGUUCAGAACGUCGUGGGACAGUUCGGUCCCUAUCUGUUGUGGGCGCGGGAGACUUGAGGGGCUCCGUCCUUAGUACGAGAGGACCGGGACGGACGGACCUCUGGCGAACCGGUUGUGGCGCCAGCCGCACAGCCGGGUACCCAAGUCCGGCCGGGAUAAGCGCUGAAAGCAUCUAAGCGCGAAACCCUCCCCGAGAUGAGGUCUCCGAGGGUCGUGGGAGACUACCACGUCGAUAGGCGGGAGGUGCAAGUGCAGCGAUGCACUGAGCCGACCCGUACUAAUUGCCCGAUUACGUUUGGCUC